rnacentral:tRNA from 1 species
GUGUCCGUGGUGUAGCGGAUCGCAUGCGACCCUGUGAAGGUCGAGGGGCUGGGUUCAACUCCCGCCGGACACC